CAGUCUUAUGAUGGCGACUGUUUUUUUUAAAAACUCCGGAUCGCUCAGUGAGUAGUGUGUAAUGCACUGUAAUAAAAUGUUAUUUUGCCGUGUACUAAUGCGAAAUAUAUGAAAAACUGAUUACCUACCUGAACGUCCUAAUCGUAUUUCUAGGACCGGUGUUAGGUUUUGCGAGGCCCUAGGCAAAAUAUUCUAGAGGCCCCUGAAAACGGCUUUUACAAACCAACAGUAAAAACCUAUACAUUUUACUCACCCCCAUAAUCGGGCAUCGGCGGCUUAAGGAACUCAACCCCCUAGAAAUUUUAAAAGCUCCC